AUUUUCUAUUUGACUGCAGGCUGUACCUUCCUUCUCUUUUCCAGCUAGCACUUAUGUGGACCUGAUUACCAUUCUAUCUGAACACCUCACAAUCUUAAAAGUAUUCAUCCUCAUAAUGCCUCUGUGAGUUGUGGGAACCAGAACUGAACACAAUAUUCCAGAAGAAGUCACACCAGUGCCAGAUAUAGAGCCCUACCCUACAUGUAUGCUGAUGAGAAUCUUUGUAUGCUGAUCCACCACAGAUAUGAGCAGUGGCAACUUACCAACUCCUGCAAGCGAGUUCGAGCCUAACCAAAGAAUUCAAAAACUGAUUCCUAAACUCUACUUUUUUUUGUAUAUACAGAUUUUUAAGGACAGUUAAGCGGGUACAUAUUCAAUAAGAAACGCUUGUGAUUUGAUUUUAAUCUGUCACAUUACUCAUACUCUCUGUCUCUGUAAUGAAACUCAGUGCCAGAAAAUGUAGUACUGUGGGUGAGACUCAAAUCAUGGCAUAAGUAAAUAGUGCCUCAUGAAGCUACCCUGUUACCAUGGCAAAUUACCAUACCCAAGAGUCACUUUACGAGGGAUUGCUGAGGUAACCACAGCAGCGUGAGGCUGCAGCAGGAUUGCAGCAUUUAAGGCUGGUUCUGACAGCGGGGCUGCAGGCGGCUCCCUCCCAACGCUGACAAAGAGGGGAUGGAGGAGGCUCCUGCAUAUCUGAGAAGCCCAGUGCAAGGUGCAGAGGAGGCUGCAGUCAUCCUGGCUUGGCACAGUACUGCAAGGAGUAACAAGAGUCCCCAGUCAAUGGGGAGGCCACCCUGCUGCUGAAUAGUUCCUGCCUUGGAAUGGCUGACUGGUGAGGGAUGAGGCGAGCUCCCUGCAAGUUCAAGGAAGUAACAGCAGGGUCCUGGCAGGGUGGAGCAGAGAUCCCUGGCUAGGACUGCAAGGAGCAGGCUGUAUAUUGGAAUUUGAGAGACUUUUCAGUAUUGGCUUCACUUGUCAAAAAAGUUACCUGCCACCACUGGAAAUAAGUACUAACUACAAUUCUUUUCAUUGUGGUUAUCUUUUUCUGUAUACUGUUACUGUUCUAAGUGUGUGUGUAUGUGAAUGCAGAUACCGAUUUAACCAUCCUGGAGACCAAGCUAUGCUCUUUAUUCACAGAAUGAGUAUGUAGUGCAAGCGUCUUCCCCACUCAGGCCUCCACGGGCACCUCAACCCUGCGUCAGGUUAAGAUGGAGGCGUUCAGCCUCCAUUGCCUGCUCAAUUCUUGGGCCGCCUUCCAAGGCUAACAUCAGGAAUGCCAAUUGCGGAGGUGGUUUGUAUGAUGUGGUGUACUCUCUGUACUGGGCUAAAGUGUCUGCACUUUCCUCUAUGUAUUCUUGGAAAUUCCACUGCUUUUUAAAAAUUGCUACAACGGUGUUACCAAAAACAUUAUAUAAACCAGUUGCAUACUUCAAGAAAUACAUUUGCUACCCGCAUUGCUUAAGUGGCAAAAAGCAGUUGACUUUUGAGGUUGUAUUUGUCAAUGCACCCAAAGGUGUAUAGUCAUGUGGUUUACCAAACACUGUGGUGUCUAAAAACUGUUGGCUAGAACAAAAAUGAGUAAAUGCAAUGCAAAGCUGAAUACUAGCAGAGAGGCUAAUGCCCCAAUUCAGCAAAGCACAUUGACUGCGAUGGGGUUUAGACUUGUGCUUAAAAUCAACUGCCUUUGGUUGUAUUAGGAAUCCAUCCCCUUACAAUAAAGUUCUUGCUCACAUACUUAACUGUAAGUGAGUCCUGAAGAGGAAUUUGAAUGGAAAUGGUAGUGGUUUGUCCGAUAGGAAGUAGCGGGUACUUCUGUGUGUAGAAGGUAACAUGGGAAAAGGUGUGAGAGAAGCAGAUGAAGGAAACAUCAAGGCUGGGCAGAGAGGGCAGGGGAGAAGAGAC